AGCCCUACACGAGGCCAUUUUGCCCAGCACCUAUGAAUUAGCACUGGGAAAACCAACUACACAUCUGUGGAUGCAACCCUGUACAUCCUGGUCCAAAAAAGAUGAUUAAAAAGAGGCUGGGAAGUGGCCUUUUCAUUUGGUACCGUUUUUUGGACCACAGAGUCUUUCUCAGCUCAUCAGUGCCCCCUGGUGGUAUGCAGGGCGAGGGGACAAUAACGAGUCCCAUUCUUCACCGGCUGGUGACUGAAGGACAUUUUCUCAGAAGCCCUGCACCUCCUCCCCUGUGACUCAGGCACUGUGAAUAAAAGGUGCUUCCAGGAAUUCCCGGUAGAAGACGGAGUGCAGAACGGGAGAGCCAGGGCAAAGCAGGAGGAGCGCAGCCCUGGCAGGAACAGGUCAGCAUGCAGUUUGGAUCAAUAGGGAAACACCACGUCUCUUCGUGUGCACAGGCUUCUAAACUUCAUGGGAUUGUUUUCAGCAUCACAUGAGACCCUGAGUAAAAG